AUGCUCCUGUCCGAGGGGGUCCCGCUGCGCCGCCCGUUCGCCGAAGACCCCGGCUACUACGUCUCGGCCAGCAAUGGCAUCGCCAUGGACGGAGCGCGUGUGGCAUUCGCGAGCGCCGGUGCGCCCAUCGUCGGCUUCUCCACGGUCCACUACACGGAGCUUCGCCACGACGUGUACCGCCCCUUGAUCGCGGCCUUCGACCGCGCCAUGGGCAGGAGCGCGAGGAGGGUCACGCCGGCGGUGGCGCCGUUCGAUCUCUGCUACGACUCCACGAAGCUGCUAUCGGCUAUCGUCGCAGACGGGGCACUCAGUGCCAGAGCUCCAUGGCGCACGCUAGCUUCGACCGAGGCCGAGGACGUCGUCUGGGCCGACGCCGAGGACGACCUUGGCCCUCCCCCGCCAGCGCCCUGGUCGGAGACCUGCUCGAGGAGUAGGCCGGGGACGGCAGCAGCAUCCAGAGCCACGCGCUCGGCUCGCUCGAGAAGGGCGCGUCGGUCAGGAUCUCGGGCAAACUGCAGGUGCACACAAGGUGUUUGUAGAAAUGCCAAAGAGAGGGAGAGAGGAGGAAGAAGAGGGUUAACGUGUGGGUCCUAUUUGUAA
rnacentral:rRNA from 1 species